CCUACGGGUGGCUGCAGUGGGGAAUAUUGGACAAUGGGGGCAACCCUGAUCCAGCCAUGCCGCGUGUGUGAAGAAGGCCCUCGGGUUGUAAAGCACUUUCAGUGAGGAAGAACGCCUGGUGGUUAAUACCCAUCAGGAAAGACAUCACUCACAGAAGAAGCACCGGCUAACUCCGUGCCAGCAGCCGCGGUAAUACGGAGGGUGCGAGCGUUAAUCGGAAUUACUGGGCGUAAAGGGCGCGUAGGUGGCUUGAUAAGCCGGUUGUGAAAGCCCCGGGCUCAACCUGGGAACGGCAUCCGGAACUGUCAAGCUAGAGUGCAGGAGAGGAAGGUAGAAUUCCCGGUGUAGCGGUGAAAUGCGUAGAGAUCGGGAGGAAUACCAGUGGCGAAGGCGGCCUUCUGGACUGACACUGACACUGAGGUGCGAAAGCGUGGGUAGCAAACAGGAUUAGAUACCCUAGUAGUC
rnacentral:rRNA from 1 species